ensembl:snRNA U6 U6 spliceosomal RNA
CUGCUUUGGUAGCAGAUAUACUUAAAAUUAGAACAAUACAGAGAUUAUCAUGGCUCCUCGACAAGUAGGACAUGCAAAUUUGUGAAGUGUUCCAUGGUUUA